GCUGGGCGUGGUGGCGCAUGCCUGUAGUCCCAGUUACUUGGGAGGCUGAGGCAGGAGAAUCACUUGAACCAAGGAGGCAUAGGUUGCAGUGAGCCAAGAUCCCGCCACUGCACUCCAGCCUGGGCCACAGAGUGAAACUCUGUCUCAA
rnacentral:SRP_RNA from 1 species